GUCUACAGCCAUACCACCCUGAAUGUGUCCGAUCUCAUCUGAUCUCUGAAGCUAAGCAGGGUAGGGCCUGGAUAGUAGUUGGAUGGGAAAAAGGUGUUUUUCUUGCAUCUUGAUAACUUGAGAUCCUUCAAAUC
rnacentral:rRNA from 1 species